rnacentral:rRNA from 1 species
CGAUAGGCCUAACACAUGCAAGUCGAGGGGCAUCACAUGAGGUAGCAAUACUGAUGGUGGCGACCGGCGCAAGGGUGCGUAACGCGUGAGCAACAUGCCCUAUACAGGGGGAUAAUCCAGGGAAACUUGGUCUAAUAUCCCAUAGUAUUUAGAGGAGGCAUCUUCUAUAAAUUAAAGCUUCGGUGGUAUAGGAUUGGCUCGCGUGACAUUAGCUAGAUGGUGAGGUAACGGCUCACCAUGGCAAUGAUGUCUAGGGGUUCUGAGAGGAAGGCCCCCCACACUGGGACUGAGACACGGCCCAGACUCCUACGGGAGGCAGCAGUGGGGAAUUUUGGGCAAUGGGGGCAACCCUGACGCAGCAACGCCGCGUGAGUGAGGAAGGUUUUCGGAUUGUAAAGCUCUGUCGAGCGGAAAGAAAUGCACGAUGGCUAAUAUCCAUCAUGCUUGACGGUACCGCUAGAGGAAGCACCGGCUAACUCCGUG